rnacentral:rRNA from 1 species
GGAUGCGAUCAUACCAGCACUAAUGCACCAGAUCCCAUCAAAACUCCGCUGUUAAGCGUGCUUGGGCGAGAGUAGUACUAGGAUGGGUGACCUCCAGGAAAGUCCUCGUGUUGCAUCCC